rnacentral:tRNA from 1 species
GUCCCCAUCGUCUAACCGGUUAGGAUACCACUCUUUCAAGGUGGUGACACGGGUUCAAAUCCCGUUGGGGACACCA